rnacentral:rRNA from 1 species
AAGCCGGAAUCGCUAGUAAUCGCGGAUCAGAAUGCCGCGGUGAAUACGUUCCCGGGUCUUGUACACACCGCCCGUCACACCAUGGGAGCCGGUAAUGCCCGAAGUCUGUGGCCCAACCGAGAGGGGGGAGCAGCCGAAGGCAGGCCCCGGUGACUGGGGUGAAGUCGUAACAAGGUAAC